UCCCUGGUGGCUCAGUCAGUAAAGUUUCUGCCUGCGAUUCAGGAGACCUAAGUUCGAUCCUUGGCUUGGGAA
rnacentral:tRNA from 1 species